rnacentral:rRNA from 1 species
GAGACAGCAGCAGCCGCGGUAAUACAGAGGGUGCAAGCGUUAAUCGGAAUUACUGGGCGUAAAGCGCGCGUAGGUGGUUUGUUAAGUUGGAUGUGAAAGCCCCGGGCUCAACCUGGGAACUGUAUCCAAAACUGGCAAGCUAGAGUACGGUAGAGGGUGGUGGAAUUUCCUGUGUAGCGGUGAAAUGCGUAGAUAUAGGAAGGAACACCAGUGGCGAAGGCGACCACCUGGACUGAUACUGACACUGAGGUGCGAAAGCGUGGGGAGCAAACAGGAUUAGAUACCCCUGUAGUCCCUGUCUCUUAUAC